UCGCCGGUGGCUCAGUUGGCAGAGCAGUGGGCCUGUACCCCACGGUCCCGUGUUCAAGUCCCGGCUGACGCU